rnacentral:lncRNA from 1 species
UGUCUUUAAAAAAAAAUUAAAUGAAAAAAUGCUUGAUAAAAAGUUAUAUAUCAAUUAAUCUUAUAAAUAUUUGAUUUCUUUUUGCAAUAAUAAAACUAUUAUAAAUAAAUUUACUCUUGAUUUUUUCAAUUUUAUUAUUUAUUGCUGAUAUUAAAUCAUUUUGAAAAUGAUUGCAUUACAUUGUGCUAAUAUUUUUAUAUUUGAAUAGAUUUUUAAAGACAACUUUUUUAUUAUUUAAGUUUUGAAAACAUUACUAUUAUUUUUACAGUAUCUAAAUUGAUGCUGUCAUAAGAGCACUAUAUUAUGAGUAUCACCUCUUGCUAUGAUACCAAUUAAAAUAGAUUUUUCUUGAAAAAUAUAUUUCAUCUUGUCAAAAAUAUAUUGUGAUUCCAAAGACAUUAAAAUAUUUCAUGUAUUUUCAAUAAAUGUACAGAAAUUCUAAGCCCAACUGUUUAAACAGUCUAUUUUCGAAAUUAAAAAUCUCAGAAAAAUUAGAUUUUCCAAUUAUGACACGUAAUUUUUAUUAAAUAAUACGAAUAAAAUGUUUGAUUUCAAUUUCUAGCUUGAUCUAUGAAUGUUUAAACAAUUGGGAUAGUUAGAUCAUAAUUUGAAAUUAAAAUGUAUUUUUAAACAGUUUCUGAUUUUAAAACAAUACUUUUAUUUAUUAUUGGAAACAAUGUGUUUUCAUAAUGUAAAAGCUAUAUGUGAUAAAAGGAAAAAAAAUGGGUAUUGGUUUUAUUGAUAUUUAUUCAUUAACACAUUUUCACUGUAAGAAAACUGCCUUCUGUAUUGGUAUCAUAUUUAUUGUGUACUUACACGAAUGGCAAUAUAAUAGUACUGGGUUAAAAAAAUUAAAUUACUCAUGCAAAUGUAUAUACAGUAUGUGUGUAAAUGUGUAUUUAUGUUUAUACAGAACAUGGAUAAAUAUGUAUAUUUCUCUAAAGAAUUAAUUCUUAAGAACAUGCUGUUAUUCAUUCAAUAUAGUGUAUAUCAAAAGUCUGGAAAUGGAAAUAUUUUACCCAAUCACAAUAAAAAUGAGUAUGCAUAUGAAAAAUAAUGCAAAAAAACAGAAAACUUUGCCAUUAUUUAAAAUUCGUUAUCAUUUUCUUCAAAGCUGCCAUUACAUUUUUCAUAAAACAGUCAUCAGUGAAUAUUGAUGAUUGUUAAGAACAAUAGAUUCCACUGACUGCAAUUAAUAUAUGUUUAUUGAUAUAAGUCACUUUAACAGUAAUGGCAACCUUCAAAUGCUGAAUGAGCAUAAAUACUGGAUUUUGAAUAUAUAUCUAUAAAAAGAUUGCCAGUGGUUUUAGAUAAGUGAAGUGGUAAACAUAUGGGGACAAUUUCCCAUCCACUUUUGAGUGAGAUUCAUCUCCUCUCUUGGAAGGUGGUGAUCUCACAGAGAAAUGAGCAGGAAUAUUCCAUACUGCAUUAUUUUGUAUAGCAGAUGCCCCAUCCAAGUUAUGCACAUGUUGCAUAACCAAAGCAAUGUUUUUUUGCACACAAAAUUGUGUGUGUAAUUCUUGUUAACUUUAUUGCUGCAUCAGACUUUUGACAGAUACUAUAUACAUAGUAGUUAUAAAAAUUUAUAAAAUGUUUAAUGUGAAUAUGGGAAAACAUAUUGCC